UGUAAACCACUGUCGUAGAGGAGGAAAUCAUCGGGGGUUCUCCCCCGGAGUUGACCUAUUCUAGGAGGAAGGACGGGCUAAGUACGUGCCAGCAGCCGCGGUAAUACGUACCGUCCUAACGUUAUUCGGAAUUACUGGGCUUAAAGGGUACAUAGGCGGCCCUGUCAGUCGGGUGUGAAAUACCUCGGCUCAACCGAGGAACUGCGCCCGAUACUGCAGGGCUUGAGGGAGACAGAGGUAAGCGGAACUGAUGGUGGAGCGGUGAAAUGCGUUGAUAUCAUCAGGAACGCCGGUGGCGAAAGCGGCUUACUGGGUCUCUUCUGACGCUGAGGUACGAAAGCUAGGGGAGCGAAGGGGAUUAGAUACCCCCGUAGUCCUAGCCGUAAACUCUGAGCACUUGAUCGUGGGCCCCCCCAUAGGCUCUCGGUCGUAGCGAAAGUGUUAAGUGCUCCGCCUGGGGAGUAUGGUCGCAAGGCCGAAACUCAAAGAAAUUGACGGGGGCUCACACAAGCGGUGGAG
rnacentral:rRNA from 1 species